UACAGAGACCUCAAGCGUUAUCCGGAAUCAUUGGGCGUAAAGCGUACCGAUAGGUGGUUUAUUAAGUCUGGGGUAAAAGCCGGAAGCUCAACUUCCGCGUUUGCUUUAGAUACUAAUAGACUAGAGGGGCAAAGAGGUGCUUGGAACCAACGGUGUAGUAGUGAAAUGCGUUGAUAUCGUUGGGAACACCGAAAGCGAAGGCAGAGCACUGGGUGCCACCUGACACUGCUAGGACGAAAGCGUGGGUAGCGAAUGGG
rnacentral:rRNA from 1 species